UACGAAGGGGGCUAGCGUUGUUCGGAAUUACUGGGCGUAAAGCGCACGUAGGCGGACUACUAAGUCAGGGGUGAAAUCCCGGGGCUCAACCCCGGAACUGCCUUUGAUACUGGUAGUCUCGAGUCCGGAAGAGGUGAGUGGAAUUCCUAGUGUAGAGGUGAAAUUCGUAGAUAUUAGGAAGAACACCAGUGGCGAAGGCGGCUCACUGGUCCGGUACUGACGCUGAGGUGCGAAAGCGUGGGGAGCAAACAGG
rnacentral:rRNA from 1 species